UACGAAGGGGGCUAGCGUUGUUCGGAAUUACUGGGCGUAAAGGGUUUGUAGGCGGUUAUUUAAGCUAGUGGUGAAAGCCCAGAGCUUAACUCUGGAAUUGCCAUUAGAACUGGAUAGCUUGAGAGUGUUAGAGGAAAGUGGAAUUCCUAGUGUAGGAGUGAAAUCCGUAGAGAUUAGGAGGAAUAUCGAUGGCGAAGGCAGCUUUCUGGGGACAUUUCUGACUGCUGAGAAACGAAAAGCGACUGG
rnacentral:rRNA from 1 species